AUUGAACGCUGGCGGCAGGCCUAACACAUGCAAGUCGAGCGAGCGGCGGACGGGUGAGUAAUGUAUGGGGACUGCCCGAUAGAGGGGGAUAACUACUGGAAACGGUGGCUAAUACCGCAUACUAUCGGAUAACCCAUAUGGGAUUAGCUAGUAGGUGGGGUAAAGGCUCACCUAGGCGACGAUCUCUAGCUGGUCUGAGAGGAUGAUCAGCCACACUGGGACUGGGAAACGACCCAGGCGCCAACGGAGGCAGCGGUGGGAAAUAUUGCACAAUGGGGGCAAGCCUGAUGCAGCCAUGCCGCGUGUAUGAAGAAGGCCUUAGGGUUGGAAACGCCUUUCACCAUCGACGCGGUAGAUGGAGAAGAAGCACCGGCUAACUACGUGCCAGCCGCCGCGGUAAUAC
rnacentral:rRNA from 1 species